rnacentral:lncRNA from 1 species
GCUAGCUGUUCAGAGGUCAGGCGCUGGUCAGAACAUGAGGAAGGAGGAACACGGUGGCCAUAUCUGAAGUGAUCUAGUAAACAGGAGACAUUUCCUCCAGGAAGUCUGUAGUGGGUAAGACCCAGUUACUACCCUUGAGGAAAGGAAGGUGAUGGGAACUAGCAUCUAUUAUGCACUGUGUGCCAGACUUGAGUAAACACUUCCAAGUCCUGUUCCUUGACUCCUAUGAGGUUAGUAACUUUUAUCAUCGCCAUUUUAAAGGAAGGCUCAGAGGCACUCUGCAGUCACACAGCUGGAGGGGUGCAGUGAGACGCGGAGGCUCCAAGUCUCUUCUGGACUAGGCCUGGAUCUGCCACCUCUUCUUUCGGCUGUGGAUGGCCCUGGGAGACACGCCUGGCCUCAGAUGCCCCUUGACCCAACUGGAGGAAGGGUGGGGGGCCCAGCAGAAAAGCCUGCAGCCUCCCUGGGCACCGUUUCAAAGCUGAUGCUGCUCUCCCUGCUCUGGGUCUCAGCUCCUCCCCUCUUCUGCAUUGUUGACCAACAGCCUGGGUCUGACGCGGAAGCAGAAGAAUUCCCAUUCAACUGGGCCCCAGGGAUGGGGGGCCUCUCUGCCAGUAAGUGACACCCUCUGCUACUGAAAGGCCUCAUGUUCCUGCCCUGCCAAGCCUGGGGUGGCCACCACGUGACAGCACCAGGGACACGUGUCUUCUGGGACCGCUUGUGAGCUGGGUGGCUGGCAAGUUUGUUUCUCCAUGUCCCGCAGCAGGGGCAAGGGUGUGGGUGGUCAUAAUGCACCAGGGCUCUGGGCGGGCUGAGCAGAGUGCAGUUCCUGCUGCCAGCCCCGAUAUGGCACGGACAGCUGGAAAAACUGACCAUGUGGCUUGACUAUCUCAGAGGAUUGCUCCAUUUUUCCUCAGCAUAAUUUUUCCAUGAAUAAUCUUUAAAGCUCUUUAAGUGGCUGUUUCUUUAGCAGUUUUAUUGGAACAUAUGAGAACUGACAGUCUCUGUGGGGAACGAGAUAUCAUGUUGAAAAAAAAUCUGGUUUUCAUUACACUUCUUUCAAGAAAGCAACAGGCUGCCCAACAGACCUCUCAUUGAUUGGAAGAGAAAUGAGCCCAGAGCCUCCUAACAACAGCCUUGGAGUGGACAGGAUGAUGAACAGUGAUGCCAAAGACUCAGGAUCUGAAGGCAGACAGGCCUGGUCCACCACCUGUGUCUGCCAUUUGCAGGAUGAGUGACCUUGAGUAGGUCACCUCACACCUCUGAACCUGAAUUCUACAUCUGCAAAACAGGAAUGAUGACCCUGACUGACAGCCUCCCUGUGAGGAGUAAGCCAUACAGCAUCCCUCCCUCCUUCACGUGACAAACUUUUCCUGAGUCCUGACCUCGGGGGCAGGAGCUGGAGAUACUACACUGGAUUAGAAAGAUGAGUUUCCAGUCAAGUGUGGGAGAGAGAAGUAGCCAGGAUGUAGAACCUGACAAGGGAAGAGUUCAGGAACUUGCCCAGUUGAGCAGCCAGUGAACGGGACAGCCCUGAGCACGGUGCACGUGAGAACACAGAGGGGACCCCUGGAGGGCCUGAUGUCCAGAUUCCUAGGCCACGGGGAGCGCGGAGCAGCAGAUGCUGGGGGAGCCGCUGGUACUCGUGAGGAGCUGGGCCACAUCCAGGCAGGGUGUUGGCCAGAGGUUCUGGGGUGGCUCGUGAGUGACAGCAGUACUGGUAUGCUGGUGAGUGCCUCAGCAGGAGCUCCCUCUGUCCCCCUACCAACUCCCCGAUGUCUGGACGGCACCAGAGCCCGCCUGGGAGGCCACGAGCUAACACUCUCAAGAGGAAAACAGGGGGAUCAAACCAAUGACCCAAGGGCCUACAGCUAAGAACUGCUGGAGCCAGGCUCUGAACUGAGCUCUGCCUGACUCCAGAGGUGGUUUCUACCACCAGGCAAUACAACAGGGAGACACGCAGGUGUGUCAGAGAGCAGUCCUCACAGUGCGAGCACAGAAACCAGAGGCCAAGGCUGAAGAUUUUCCUGGACUCGCGGUGCUGCCCAGGAAUCUUCUGAGAAAACCUGUCAGUUGCCUAUUUGUUGGUGUGGAACUGCCUGUGAAGUCAUUCUGCAGGGGUGGAAAGUGGGGGCCAGCUCUCUGUGGGCAACAGGGACCAUCCCAGAGACAAAGGGCAGCCUCAGCCCACAGACCACUUCGGACUUGAAUCAAGGCCUCAAAGGGCGAGACCUGGGCCACUGUCAAUGUGAGGGCAGCAGGGCUGAAGCCAGGGAUUUGGAAAAUUGGUGGAAAACACUCCUAUGAGCUGGGGCUUGCUCUGCUGUGGAAAACUGCCAGCAUCAGCACUUCUCCCAAGGCUGUGCCGAGUCAGCAGUCAGCCCACUCUGGAGCUGCCUCUGAGGACCAGGUGCCUACAGGACCCUGUAAGGAGCUUGAAGAGUUGUGGCUGACGGAGGGAUUUCUGUCCUGGGCUCUAGGAAUUCUAGACUGGGCCCUUCCUCAAGGAGCUUUCAGUCUGGCGGAGCAGACAGACAUGGGCAAAUAAGCCCACAACUAACUGUGCCAUCACUGCAGAAGGAAGUGCCACGGAGGAGCAUGAGGGCCAGUUGCAGGAAGGAGCCAGGGCCAGCAUGUGCCUGUAAAAGCCAGAUAGUAAAUAGUUCACGCUCUGCAGGCCACAGGGUCUUUGUCCCAAGCACUCAACUCUGCCACUGCUGCAUGAAAACAGCCACAGGCGAUAUGUCAACCAAAGAGGGGUGGUUGUGCCCAUAUGAAAACAGAGGGUGGAUCUGUCCCACAGUUUGCCACAGCCUGGCUGUUAGACGGCCUGACCUGAUUGGGGGUGGGGGUGAUAGUGGGGAGAAGGCUUCCCCGAGGCAGUGAUAUUUAGCUAAAAGCUGCAGGCUGAGGCAAUGAUGGAGGCAGAAUCACAAUAUGACAAUUAUGAUAAUCACAUCACCAUGAUCAAGUUCCACCUAACACGUGUGUUCUAUGUUGCGCACUGUGCUAAUAACAACACUACCCUGUGAAGGAGGAAGAUUUUAUGCCCACUUUACAGAUAGAGACACUGAGGCUUGGCAGUAUGCUGAGUAGUCUGUUCACACAAUUCAGCUGCAUUUUUUGC